GCUCUCGUGGCCCAGUUGGUUAGUGCGUCGUACUUAUAAGCAGUGCAGGAGUAUACGAGAAGGUCGAGGGUUCGAUCCCCUCCGGGAGCA
rnacentral:tRNA from 1 species